rnacentral:lncRNA from 1 species
AGGUGAAAAAGAAAGAGGAAUCAAAGAAAAGAAAGGAAGGGCAGAAAAAAAAGAAAGUGAAGUGAGAACAAGGAAAAGAGAGAGCAAGAUUCAGAGGCAGGGAAGACCUGAGUCUGGGAAGAGGGCAGGAAUGUGCCCUGUGGGGCUGAGGCGCGUCCCUUCAUGUCACAUCCUGGUGCUGGUGGUGACCUGAUUUUGACUCAUCCAAAAAAUGAUCAAAAGAGAGGGAAACAAAGACUAGGACAUCUAGCACAAUGUUGAAAAGUAUGGCCCAGACCCUAUCAGAAUAAUCCCAGCCCAUCAUAGCAAAAUUGGUGAAAACAAAAAAAAGGGAAAAAUGACAAAACAGCCAGAGAAAAAAGACAUCUACUUUCAAAAGAUUAAUAAUAAGGUGAAUGGCUGACUUUUCAACAGAAGCAAUAGAAACCAAAGACAAUAGAGUGACAUAUUGAAAUUGCUGAAAGAAAAUUACUGCCAAUCCAGGGUUCUAUAUCUAGAGAAAAUAUCUUUCAAAAAUGAAAACGAAAUAAAUAAAUAUGUUUUUGAAUGAA